AGAGGAAGUAAAAGUCGUAACAAGGUCUCCGUAGGUGAACCUGCGGAGGGAUCAUUACACAAAUAUGAAGGCGGGCUGGAACCUCUCGGGGUUACAGCCUUGCUGAAUUAUUCACCCUUGUCUUUUGCGUACUUCUUGUUUCCUUGGUGGUUCGCCCACCACUAGGACAAACAUAAACCUUUUGUAAUUGCAAUCAGCGUCAGUAACAAAUUAAUAAUUACAACUUUCAACAACGGAUCUCUUGGUUCUGGCAUCGAUGAAGAACGCAGCGAAAUGCGAUAAGUAGUGUGAAUUGCAGAAUUCAGUGAAUCAUCGAAUCUUUGAACGCACAUUGCGCCCUUUGGUAUUCCAAAGGGCAUGCCUGUUCGAGCGUCAUUUGUACCCUCAAGCUUUGCUUGGUGUUGGGCGUCUUGUCUCUAGCUUUGCUGGAGACUCGCCUUAAAGUAAUUGGCAGCCGGCCUACUGGUUUCGGAGCGCAGCACAAGUCGCACUCUCUAUCAGCAAAGGUCUAGCAUCCAUUAAGCCUUUUUUUCAACUNUUGACCUCGGAUCAGGUAGGGAUACCCGC
rnacentral:rRNA from 1 species